rnacentral:rRNA from 1 species
CAGCAGCCGCGGGAAUACAGAGGGUGCGAGCGUUAAUCGGAUUUACUGGGCGUAAAGCGUGCGUAGGCGGCUAAUUGAGUCGGAUGUGAAAUCCCCGAGCUUAACUUGGGAAUUGCAUUCGAUACUGGUUAGCUAGAGUGUGGGAGAGGACGGUAGAAUUCCAGGUGUAGCGGUGAAAUGCGUAGAGAUCUGGAGGAAUACCGAUGGCGAAGGCAGCCAUCUGGCCUAACACUGACGCUGAGGUACGAAAGCAUGGGGAGCAAACAGGAUUAGAUACCCGCGUAGUCCCUGUCUCUUAUAC